rnacentral:rRNA from 1 species
AGCGAGGGUCUUCGGACCCUAGCGGCGGACGGGUGAGUAACACGUAGGCAACCUGCCUGUAAGACUGGGAUAACAUAGGGAAACUUAUGCUAAUACCGGAUAGAGUUUUGCUUCGCAUGAAGCGAAACGGAAAGAUGGCGCAAGCUAUCACUUGCAGAUGGGCCUGCGGCGCAUUAGCUAGUUGGUGAGGUAAAGGCUCACCAAGGCGACGAUGCGUAGCCGACCUGAGAGGGUGACCGGCCACACUGGGACUGAGACACGGCCCAGACUCCUACGGGAGGCAGCAGUAGGGAAUUUUCCACAAUGGACGAAAGUCUGAUGGAGCAACGCCGCGUGAACGAUGAAGGCUUUCGGGUCGUAAAGUUCUGUUGUUAGGGAAGAAACAGUGCCAUUUAAAUAAGGUGGCACCUUGACGGUACCUAACGAGAAAGCCACGGCUAACUACGUGCCAGCAGCCGCGGUAAUACGUAGGUGGCAAGCGUUGUCCGGAAUUAUUGGGCGUAAAGCGCGCGCAGGUGGCUAUGUAAGUCUGAUGUUAAAGCCCGGGGCUCAACCUCGGUUCGCAUUGGAAACUGCGUAGCUUGAGUGCAGGAGAGGAAAGUGGUAUUCCACGUGUAGCGGUGAAAUGCGUAGAGAUGUGGAGGAACACCAGUGGCGAAGGCGACUUUCUGGCCUGUAACUGACACUGAG